GCCCACCCAGGCGCCUCUGUGUCUGGGAGAUAAGAGAGCUAGCUUUUGAUUAAUCUAAUUAUCUCCCAGACACUAGAGUUACAAACUAUUAUACAAAACCCUCAAAAUAUACAUAACACAUAUAUGAACCCCCCACAAGCAUUAUAUCCCUGGAUCUUGGCACCCAACAUAUCCAAAUAGAGCUCUCAUCCCACGAACACAGCCUCUGUGUCUG